rnacentral:misc_RNA from 1 species
GAAAUGCGAUAAGUAAUGUGAAUUGCAGAAUUCAGUGAAUCAUCGAAUCUUUGAACGCACCUUGCGCUCCUUGGUAUUCCGAGGAGCAUGCCUGUUUGAGUGUCAUGAAACUCUCAACCUUCAACUUUUUUAUUAAGGAUGAAGGCUUGGACUUGAGCGCUGCUGGUUUUCACUAACCGGCUCGCUUGAAAUGAAUUAGCAGAUCCUUUUUGUAAUCGGUUCCACUCGACGUGAUAAGUAUUUCGCCGAGGACAUAUGAAAGUAUGGCCGAGAUAAGGAAAGUCUUUAGAUCCGCUUCUAAUUCUUAGAUCAAGCUUGCUUGACUAAACCCCAUUUUAUGAUCUGGCCUCAAAUCAGGUAGGACUACCCGCUGAACUUAA